GACGAACGCUGGCGGCGUGCCUAAUACAUGCAAGUAGAACGCUGAAGAGAGGAGCUUGCUCUUCUUGGAUGAGUUGCGAACGGGUGAGUAACGCGUAGGUAUCCUGCCUGGUAGCGGGGGAUAACUAUUGGAAACGAUAGCUAAUACCGCAUGAAAUUGCUUAUCGCAUGAUAAUUAAUUGAAAGAUGCGAUUGCAUCACUACCAGAUGGACCUGCGUUGUAUUAGCUAGUUGGUGAGGUAACGGCUCACCAAGGCGACGAUACAUAGCCGACCUGAGAGGGUGAUCGGCCACACUGGGACUGAGACACGGCCCAGACUCCUACGGGAGGCAGCAGUAGGGAAUCUUCGGCAAUGGGGGGAACCCUGACCGAGCAACGCCGCGUGAGUGAAGAAGGUUUUCGGAUCGUAAAGCUCUGUUGUAAGAGAAGAACGGGUGUGAGAGUGGAAAGUUCACACUGUGACGGUAUCUUCCAAAAGG
rnacentral:rRNA from 1 species